UGCACCGACAUAAUUACAAAAAUGCCUUGCGUCUUCACGCGCAACAGUUGUCUUCUCUCUGUCUGUCUAGGGUUACACAACCACCACCAUACGUUCCUUUAUCCUUGCAUCAGCCUCUACAAAUCAGGAACGGCGAAAAAUUCAGGCUUACGUUUAUGAAAAUCAGCACCGGAUAAUGAAGAUGGAGCGUGUUACCGACUUUCCAAUGAGUAUUGUUCACAUUGGACCGACAAAACUACAAAGCAACCUUCGAAGAUACGACGACCAUCGUACCCGUCACAACGGCCCCCUUUCUAGAACGCCCAACAAAUGGAGAAAUCAAGAAGAGGUAUGGUAUAUAUAUUACAAAGUUCUAAUUUGUGAUUCUUAUUUAUAGUUAUCCACCAAAAUAACCAUGGAUUUUGUGUCACCGGAGAACAUACAACAGUGCAUCCGACUCACUGAGGAAUUCUGUAAGCUGCCAGUUAAUCACAAAGCAAAAGAAGACAAACUAGAGGUAACAUUCAAUUCACUUAAAUUGAUUACAUGUAGAAAUUUUGACUUACAAGCCGGAAUUUAUAUGAAUCGUUUAAGCAAAUUAAGAGUUGUGUUAGUCAGAAGGAAGUUGUCCUCAUGACUGAACUUGAACAGGCUUUUCUAGCCCUAAUUUCUUCAUCCAGAGGUACAUUUUUUUUAAAGUUUAUUAAUUGAAACCCUGGAAUCAGGGGUUGGAUGUUAAAUUGAGUUUUGUAAGUAACAGUUUUUUGACUGUUGAUUCUGAAGUUAUGUGUUCAAUAGUAACCGGUCACAAGUUUAUGGUAGUUUUUAAAAGAAAUUGAAAUUGUGGAUGCAUGAUCUCCAUGUCUACUAGACAUGGGUAUGUGCAUAGGAACUGCGUGGAGGAUUUCAAAAGUCUAAAACAACAAUGUAUAUCCCCUAAAACGAAAUAUAUGAGGAUUAUUCUUAUUGCCAGAAUUGUAAGAAAUAUAUAGACAUUUAGAGGCUGUAAUGGGAAAUACUAUGGUCUUUUUGUAGGAAUCAAGAAAAAUAGUAAAUAGUAUAGCUGUUAUUGACCCUUUAUUAAUGUAUAAUUACUAUUUUUUUCCUUCAUGUGUUGACUGGAGACUUGCUGUCAGGUGGUUCACUAAGGAUACACCCCACUGAGUCAGUUAUGUUAUAUGUGUUGUGUAUAUUUCUUCCUAAUCGACCACGAUAUCUUCUUUGGGAAGUCACUUGACAAAAGGUAAGAUUAUAUCUCAUCUUUUGCAUCUAAAGUGUGUAGUAGAGCUUCAUUUGAUUAUACUAGGACCAUGUCUAAACCAUUUUGAAAUCAAACAAGUCAUGUAAAAGUAGAUUUGGUUCUAUCCGAUAUCCAUGUUUAUUGGCCUCAUUAUAUGUGUUUCUCCCUCUAGGUGUUUAAAGCUUCAUAUACGCACUUCUUAUUUUUGCAAAGAGGGUCUCCAUUUUUAAUCCGUUUUAGGCCCCUAAAAAGGUUGAGCCGAUAAUUCUUUUUUUUUUUUUUGUAUUCAAGCAACAGUUCACCGUCGGCAGAGAUGAAUAAACAGUUUAUUGAAACUACAAAUCAUCAAAAUAAUAGCUAAACUUCAAAAACUGCACCAUUUAUGAACCGUAUAAAACCUAUUAACUGAUUAUUGUUGUUAUUAUCACUAUAUGUCAUACUCAUAGUUGUUAAAAGCCAUCGCCCCUUGCGCCUAGGCCCAUUUUUCAGGCGAGGCGAGGCAGUUGCGCUUUAAGUUGAGGAAAUUGCGCUUUAAUUCUCCAGGUGAUGGUUCAGGCACACAUUCCGGCGAGAUUCCUAGAUUCCGGAGAGUUUCCGGCCAAACUCUCUACAUUCCGACAAGAUUCUCGCCAGAUUUCUACUAUUAUAUAGGGAAAACUAUUUUUCUACACUAAUACACUAAUAUUUUACGACUUUUGGUACUAAAUUGAUGAUAUAAAUUGUUAUAUAAUAGAUUUUGUUUAUUUUAUUUGAAGAAUAGUAUUCUUUUUCAUAUACAUAAUAUAUUUUUUUUUUAUUUUUUUUCAUUAUGCGCUUUAUUUUUCUCAGGCCCUUGCUUUUUUUGCGCUUUGCGCCUAGGCCUAAGGCGAGGCCUAUGCGCCUUGAGUGCGCCUAGCGCCUUUAAUAACUAUGGUCAUACUGAUGUGCGGAUGUUGAUGGUGGUGGCAUUGGCUGCACUAUGCUGGUUCUAGAUUUUUUUAUAUACUUUAUUCAUUUGCUUGUAUGUUUUUCUCAUUUUAUUUAUUAUUUUGAUUUUGAUUUGAGGUGUUACCGUUGUUUAUUUAUCUGCCUAAUUGUUGUACUUUGUUUGGAUGUAUAUGAUCGGCAUAUGAACUUCAUGCACAGAGAUGAGGAGGCACACCUUUCUUAUAUAUAUUUUAAUUCAUGGUUGUAAAAGUCCCGACUAGGCUCCGAGUACUCCCCGAGUACUCGCUACAAGGUAGGUUGCCGAGACACGAGUACUCUUCUCCCAGGCCAAUUACUCCCCGAGUACUCCCGAAUACUCCCGAGUACCUCCCGAGUACUCCCGAAUCCGACUAGGGAGCGCCUAGCGACUUUUGCAACCAUGUUUUAAUUUAACUAAGAUUUUUGGUUCUUAUAUGUACGAGAAUUGAUAUUUUCUUUCAGGUUGAUUACUUCCCUUCGAGGUAUAACCGUGAUCAAACAUGCUCAGCGGUACUCGAUCAACCCGGCUAGGGUUUGGUAAUGGGGGUGGGCCGAUGGGCCGUGGCGAAGGAUGCUGAAGCUGCGGCGGUGGCGGUGGCUGAGCCGUGCAAAGUCCGUUUACGACGAUGCAAGGUUGGACUUACCCAUCUACGGGUCGGGUUGACUAGACAGGCAAGUGGAGUCGUAUUCAUACGAGUCAUAUAUUAUUCUAUUCUAGAUGAACCAGAUCUCGCAAGAAAUAACACAGAGAAAGAAGUGAAUGUGAGAAAACCUUUCUUAUGAUCUUUGCUAACGGAAAUAAGGUAAAUCUAAAUUCAUCAAUUUAGAAAUGUAAAGGUUACAUUUAUAAUAAUUAAAUAAUUAUAUUACUCUCAAGGAUAACCACAAAUAUAUUAAGAAAAAAAUAGGUUUUUUUUGCAUAUUAUUCUUUUCUGUUAGUUAUGAAAACGAGUGGGCCUGGUGAACAUUAUUUCCUGUAUGCUUUCCCCCAUCUGAUGAACACUCAUAUGCUUGAUUGAAAUGGUCUUGAUAAUUAACCUUAUAGUCUUGAUAAUUGUUCGAGCACUAGGCUUUGUUUUGGGGUUUGGGUUAAUGAUUACGGCCAGACACCUCGGCUGAUACAAUUUAGAGUUUUGACAAAAAAAAAUGAGGAUUCUAGCCAGUUUUAAUACUUCAUACACAUUUGAGAUGUAAUUUUUUAACUUGGCUAAAAUAAAACAUUUUCAACAUCUUCUUGAUUCCGGAUCGAAAAUACAUUAUCUUGUAUGGUUUUGUUAGGUCAGUUUGGUGGAUAUUUGUGACUGAAACUGAACCAUUUGUUAAAAAAAAAACCUAUACUGUUCAAUUGCGACCUUAUAAUGUGUUUUGCAAGGUACUACAACGUCGUGUUUUUUAUGAUUAUAUAAAUUUUAGCUUGCUGUUCUUUUGUUUCACAUGACCCGAGCCGAGCCGAACCGACCCGAUAUGAACCGAUCAACAUAUUACUUAGACCAACUUUCAACAUAUUACUUAGAUAUUAAACGCAAUACAGAUCAACAUAUUACUUGACCAACUUCAAUCCAUUUAGUCUUUUCUUUUCAAUGUAUGUAGUCGGGUUGGAUAACAGGUCAAAACUGGCUUUGGUUUGAAACGAGACAUUGCAAUAUUAUGGUAUGGUUAUUAUGAUUUAAUUUAAAAUAGCCCUUGGCUUGAAGCGAUUCAGAUUUAUGACGCCCCUAAAAAAGGGUGUGCAUGUUCCCAACCCAGGUUUCAUGUAAGUCUCUUUGAAUCUUCCUAUAUAUAAACACAUUCUAUCACCUAUUUGUGAAUGAUUUAAAAAGAUGACUGAAAAAAAUUGUUGGGGGGGGGGGGGGGGGGUUGCACUUUUGGACAUCUCAAUAAAACACGACAAUUUAAUGGCCGUGAAGAAAGUUGGGGUACCACCCGUCAUAAUCCUAGCAACCCGGAUCCUAAAACAAUACCAAAAGAAGAAGGCCAGAUUCGCCAGACAAUGAAACAACAGGAAAGCAAGCAAGGAAGUAAAAGGAUAAUGCGGAAGGUAACGUUUUGAUAAGCCAGAAAAACCCAAAUCCAUGUUGAUUUUCUAGAGGAAAAACGCUAACAGGAAAGGCUUUGCCUCCAUAUGCAACAACGCAACGUCAACAUUUGAAGUAACGGAAGACUUUUGGCUCCAUCGACAAGGCGACAAAACUGGGAAGGUAACUAGCAAGGACACCGACUUUUGAAGAAAAAAAACUUACAAUAAACUAUUUGCAAGACUAUUACUCUUAUCAAAGUUGUAGUAUGAAUCCUAAUGUAACCCAUGACCUCUAUAUGUAGUUUGAAUGUUAGUGCAAUCAUUUAUCACCUAUUAGAUUACCCAA